UUUGAAGAGAGAGUUCAAUAGUACGUGAAACUGCUUAGAGGUAAUUGGGUAGGCCCUCGAAAUCCGGUGGCGAGACCAUUCAGUCGUUAUGUGCUUGCGUAUCUGUCGAUGCCGAAACCCUUUAUGGGAAGGUGUCGGGGUUCGAUCUGGUGCUCCACGCCGCAAUUGGUUUCGCCCGUAAGGACGCCGCAACCGGUUGAGUGUCGGCCUUAAGGUCGGGCAAUGGAAGGUAGCCGUCGGUACCCCUCGGGGCGCCGGCGGUGUUAUAGCCAGCCCGUCGCAUGGCGCGUCGCUUGACCGGGGGACUUAAAGGAGCCUGUGUGGGCUCAUAUCGCCUUCCCUUUGAGGAGCGGAGGCGGGCGGCAGGGGUUCGCGGUGAUAUACUUCUCGGCGCACGUACAUGAGUCGUGGCUGAGAGUGCCGUGUCCCCGAUAGCUGCCCGCCAACCCGUAUGGGGCUGUGCGGUUAGCGGCGAGUAGAUCGGUCACCUACCCUUCCC
rnacentral:rRNA from 1 species